rnacentral:rRNA from 1 species
AUUGAACGCUGGCGGCAGGCCUAACACAUGCAAGUCGAGCGAGCGGCGGACGGGUGAGUAAUGUCUGGGAGACUGCCUGAUGGGGGGGGAGAACUGAUGGAGACGGUAGCUAAUACCGCAUACCAUCAGAUGUGCGCCGAUGGGAGUAGCUGGUGGGGGGGGGAAAGGCCCACCAAGGCGACGAUCAGUAGCGGGUGUGAGAGGAUGAUCCGCCACACUGGAACUGAGACACGGUCCAGACUCCUACGGGAGGCAGCAGUGGGGAAUUUUGGACAAUGGGCGAAAGCCUGAUCCAGCCAUGCCGCGUGUCUGAAGAAGGCCUUCGGGUUGUAAAGCACUUUUGGCAGGGAGGCGGUACCUACAGAAUAAGCACCGGCUAACUACGUGCCAGCAGCCGCGGUAAUUC